rnacentral:rRNA from 1 species
AAGGGCACCACAAGAACGCGUGGAGCAUGUGGCUUAAUUUGACCCAACGCGGGAAAUCUUACCGGGUCCGGACACACUGAGGAUUGACAGGCAAUAUUAGCAGUGCAACGUAUCCGUUCGCGGUUGCGCUUGCAUUGUUAUGUUAAAUAUGCUAGUCCUUUCAUGAUUAUGUGAUAGGUGGUGCAUGGCCGUUCUUAGUUCGUGGAGUGAUCUGUCUGCUUAAUUGCGUUUCACUAAGGGCCUAUAAUUUAACGUGUGUUGCGGCACUUUGACCCCUCUCUGAGCGCGCGUCUUAGUUGUUUAGCUCACACAAUUAGGUCCUGAAAGCAACGAACGUGACCGCAACCUCUUGUUGCCUUUAUACCAAACAUGGCAUUGCUCUCACGAGCUGUCAUGAAAAAAGGCUUUUUAAACUAGAGGGACCGCUGUUACUUUCUUAAACCAGAGGAAGGUUGCGGCAAUAACAGGUCUGUGAUGCCCUUAGAUGUUCCGGGCUGCACACGUGCUACAAUGAUUAUUGCAGUGAGCAUCUCAUUUUUUACACACCGCAUUCACGAGUCCAUUUAUUCACUGCCUUCGGGCGUGCUUUAAAUGUGCAUCUCUGUGAGCGGUAAAGCCUGCUUCGAGAGUAAGUGGGUAAUCAAUUAGAAGUAAUGAUUUCCUUUUUUUCCAGCACACAUAUAUACGGCGUUUAUACCCGGGCUGUCCUUGUUGAUAGCUUUUGUGUGUAUAGAUGUUUUUUCCGUAUGUGCAAUUGUCAAUUCAUGGUGGGGACAGACCAUUGUUAAUUGUUGGUCUCGGUCUUAACUAGGAAUGCCUUGUACGGGUCUUUGGUUCAACAAACCACCCGGAAUACGUCCCUGCCCUUUGUACACACCGCCCGUCGCUCUUACCGAUGGACUUCUCUGUGAGUUUGAGGGACUGGGAACGCAGCGCACCCUUUAUUGAGAGCCUGCACACCUACGGAAACUUAAACGAACAGUGUGGUCUAAAGGAAAGAGAAGUCGUAACAAGGCAUCGGUAGGUGAACCU